CUCCCCAUAAAUCCCAGCUGUUGAUUUUGGAAUGCUUUUGACAGAGGAGCAACUCAUUUUUUCGCCUUUAGUUUUGACUGGGGGUUUUAUUUUCAACAGAGCAGGCACAGUGAGCUGGCAGUGUAGUCACGUCAGUCUGGUCUGCAGUGCAACGUUUCCUCUCUGAGUGUGCUGUUUUUGUGUGUGCGCGUGUGUUUGUUGCCGACUCACGUGUGCUUAAAGUAGUACGUGAUUAGUUAUGAGGGACGUCACGGGACGUCACGGGCUCGUGCCUCCGUAUAGAAUAAGAGAUAUAUCAAUAUGUCCAUUUAUCGGUUUUGACGUUUUGCGAUAGGAAUACCGUCUUCAAACCAUCCAAAGACCACAACAAAUAAAUAAGUAUAAAUGGUCAAAAUAAAAUGACCAAACCCACAUACUUGAUAUGGGCUUCCUCCCAUAUAUUUGUGCUCAUUACAUGUCCAUAUGCUGCAGGUACACGCGCAUGUCUAAAUAAUGUCAACAAGAGAGCCGUCCUCUGAGCUCCGCCUGCAGAUUUUACGCUACUGUAACGCAAGCGGGUAUCAUCUCAAGCUGCUUCCCUUUCCCCAAAGCCGCCACCGCUGCAUGUGACUCGACUGCCCUGCGUGUGUGUGUCUGUGCACUCUGCGGGUGCACGCGAGAGCGUGCGUAACCGACACGUGCCAGCGUGCGCGUUGCGUUAGCGCGCACACCCGAGACGGAUCGUGGUGAGGAUUAAAAAGUAUACGACUCUCCUCUCUCCGCCCACCUCCUCAGGUUUUAAUAACCUCUCGUUCCACCCGAAAGGAGAAGGUCUCCGUGGGCAACGAAAGACAGCCUCCCCAAAAACCCUGCCAGUGAUCAAUGGAGACGAAAAUUCACUGACGCCGCUCAUACAAAUAAGGACAAGCAAAGGCGACCUGCCUUUCUCGCAGCUCCAUCUCUGCCCGCGAUGGGAGCCGAUAGCGGAGUGAGAAGUGUGAGCGCGUGCCCUGCGCGUGUGUGAUCGCAGCUAAACGGGGGGAGAUGGAUGACGGUAAUUUAGGGCCAAGACAUCAAUCUCUCAAGAGGGAAUAGAUUUCUGUAGGACACCUGGAGCCAUUCGCCCUCCUGAGAUGACCUAUCCACUUUGCGGUGACGCCACUUAUUUCCAAACCAUCCACAACACCAGCGCCCUGCUCCGGUGAACAGUGAAUUUGUAUCCCCCUCAGACGUCCUACCGGAGAAGGAAAGACAACCUUGGCUGAAGACUCUGUGUAAGCACUUCAUUAGCUCCUCGGCUCCCAACAUCCACAUCGUAAUCUGAGUGACGGCCAGUGUGAGAAGAACCCAGCAAAAUACCCCAAACCGACUGAUGACACUCCAGCAGGAAACGUGCUAGCAGUGAAGGCAGGAAACGCCAGUCCCUUAAUUGAGAGGACUAAUUAAGAGGACAUUAUUUAAUUGUCCUCCUAAGCUAUCGCCUCUUUAACUUGGUUGUGAGAAGCCAGCGCUGUGCUAUGAUGGAAUUUAAUUUCACAAUAGAGGGUUGUUCUGGUACUUAGCUGCCACUUGCGACGUAGCAGUUGAGGUUAAAUAGAGCGCAUGUCGCUGAAAUUGAUUGCGUUGUGCAAACAGCUAUUGACAAAGGUCACACUUAAUGUUGGGGCGAUGCAUCAUCUCAAAGCACGUUUUAUGUUAAUUACAUUUUGCCAGGUGACCUCCGCUCGUCAUUGCUAAAUUAACCGGUUUGUGUUUUGAGAAAGUUAAAUUACAAUUUGAAUGUGUUUGUGUGUGUGUGUGUGUGUGUGUGUGUGUGUGUGUGUGUGUAAGGUAACGGGAAGGACCCAAAUGCAGAUUUUUAUUUGCAGAUUAGUAUGUGAUCUCUGGGUCACUUUGUAUAAGAAGAACCCCUUUGAUUUAUUGAAACAACCUACCCAAAGGCCUGACAAGUCAAUGUAGCAUCACGUCUUUGACAAACUGACAAAGAACAAGGGGACGUUCACCUGUACGAAUACAACUGGGCUGAGUAAUUACAAACGGGAAGCAGGUGGGAAGGGAAGGAACCUCCAGGGCUGGUGAAGGAAAGUGAGCACAGGUGAAGAGGUUCGUGGAGAAGGUCACGUGACUGGGAAUGUUUUUUGUUUUUUUUCUCAGACCAGGGGGGGUUUGAGUGACAAGCGGAAAAGUCAAAAGCCAUAUGGUAGCUGGAAAAUUGCCCACAAACCACUUUGAAGGAAUGUGAACGAAGGCAGGACCACAGAGGCAUAUUUUAAAACUCAUAGUAUUUGCAAAAUUAUUUAUAUAUCAUGGGAUUUACUAACAAUGGAUAAACUCAACUCAUUGUGAUAAGCUGUGCUGUAUUUAGGAAGGACUGUGUUGAAUUGUAAUGCCCCACUCUUUAUUUAUGCAAAUCUUAUUUGGAUCUUCGAUUUAAAAGUCCACCGAACGUGUGACCUUGUCUCAGUUACAGUUCAGCUAGACAGAAGUAAGGAUACUGUUGAUUCUUUAGAGAUACAGCAUGAAGGCAAAGAAAUAAUAACGGCACCAAUCAGUAAAAAUGAAUAGUAAAAAGAUAAAGUGGAACUGCGUAGUGCAGGAUGUUGCUACUUGAGUGAACAGAUCUUGUGUGACUAACAGCAGCAGCUGGUAUGAGGUGCGUGAGAAACGACUCAAAGUUAGUCGAAGUCGAACAGAUGGACCAGCUGGUCUCCAUUGGUUGGUAACCAUGGUAAUUUGGAUUUGACCUUAUUUGUGUCUUAAUAUUUCUACCGCACACCCACAGCACCAAAUCCUCUCCAUGACAAUGUUGGCAUGUCCUUCCAUACUUGUAAACAGCUCAGUCAGGAAUAUUUCCACUUAAGCAAAUUUGACUUGGCUAUCAAGAAGACCUUUUGGCCAAUUUUGCCAACACACGCAUGUACACACCUAUUUCCAACAGGACCAACUGUUGUGCUCAGUGUCACGGUUCCCACAUUGGUCCAACAUGCUUUCUGAACAUGAGGGAGGUCUCUUGUGUUCCUCAUUCUCACAGGUUCUGUCCUCAGCAUGAGGCCUGUCGUCAAUCCACCGCUAAAAAUACGCAAACUAAAGAGGGAGAUUUCACUGCUCCAUGUAGCCUGAGAUUCAGCCAUUUUAUUGGGACACAAUAUUUAUCCUUUGGGUGCAUAGCAUUGUUUUCCAAAGAGUAGGUCCCUGUUCAAUACUUCAACCUACAAGUGUGACUUUGGAAAAUGCAGAUCCUGAAAAUGUUGUGCUGAAGUCCGGGGAAAGCAAACAAAAAGGUCAGUAGCAAUUUGGUCUUAAUGUGUAAUGUUUACUUUAGGUUUCAUGGAGUCCAGAGAUUGGGGCUAAAUGAUAAAUUACAUUACAGGUCAUUUAGCUGACGCUUUUAUCCCCCCCCCAAAAAAGUUCAAUUUUUAACCCAUCAAUUUUUACAUUUUUGCCUGGGGAGCAAUUAGGAGUUAUGUGUCUUGCUCAGGGACACUUCAACGUGGAGCAGCUUCAUUUUAUAUCAACGCUCAUCGUUUGUUUCUAUUUAUUGACGUCAUGGUUGCAGCCGGUGCAACACAGAGUAUAUAGUUUUCUACCGUGUGACAGAAUUUAUUAUUGUAUAUUAAAGUUUCGCCAUCUGCAUUCAUUUUAAUGAGUUGCUCUCUGCAGGUUCUCCUGCCGAUAAAGAUAGUUUCUCUUUCCUCAGUGCAUGAAGCCAGAAAGCUCUUGUUGAUUUAAUGCAUAAAUGAUGGCGCAGUAAUAUAGUCAAGGAUGAUAUAAAUUGUUUAUAUAGCUGUUUAUAGUGCUCUCCAGGUAAGAGGAUGUGUGUAUGACUAUUUUUUGUAUCUAUUUCAAACAGACAUAACAAACACAUGCAAACCAUGUUAAUGAGUUUAGAUUCUGAUACAUUACACACGGGCCAUCGGCUCGUCUCUGGCUCCAUGUGAUCUGGAUUAAUGGCGGAGUGCAUCCACAGUAUUGCAUAUCUGCAAUAUAAUCUACAUGGUGAGGUCACACCAAGCUGCUUAAUAGCACUGGUUCGUCUGUAAGUAUAGUGAUCGGCUUUCCCCAUCACCCUCUCUCUCUCUCCCCUCCUCUGCUGUAAUCCUCACAAUGAUGUAUUAUGCCCACGCUGCAGUGUUAUGGGCAAGACUAUGCUUUCUCAUUCAUGUUUGAAUUCAAUUCAGCCAUUUGACUGAUGCCAAAAAUCAUUGCAAAGUUAAAUUCCGAUGAUUAAGUCAUCGAUUACUUUUAUUGAUCAUCAUGCACUGCACCGGCAUUAUUAGGGGUUCAAAUAAAUAAUUGAAAUCCACUUAAAGUGGAAAAUGACGUUGGAUUAAUGUUGUGAAAUGAUUUCUUAGGAUUAGGCUAUAAUAGUAUAUGUGUGAGGUUAGAAUGAUGGAAACGAUGACGUAAGCUGUGUUUGUUUGACCCGUCUACGUCGUACUCCCACCCUCUGUGGACACGGGUGCACUUUUCAUUAUACCAUGUGAAGUCAAAGUGACCUCACGUUGAACAACGGUCGCACAGCUUAUUUCCCAAACCUGCUCAACACCAGCUCGCUGCGCCAAGUGUGAGCAAAUGCAGAAAUGUCCAUAUAAAUGAUUCACAAUAGACAAUUAUUAUUAUUAUUGUUAUUUCUCAGGAUCCAGUGUUUCAGGCGCAAAUUCAUUGCAUUUCAUAUGUUUUAUUUGGUCAUAACUUUAAAAGACUUGAUUUCUAUGAAAAAAAAGAGGUGAAGUGUUUCACAAUGUUGUUUUUCUGUCCUGUGUACAUAAUCUAAGAUCAACACAGCAGCUCUGCUGCCUUGUUUAAAUGAGAUGCUUUGGAUAACAAUCCUGUUGGCCGGCUGCCCGAGCUAUUAACGUCUCCCCAUCUCACACAAACUGCAGCAACUUUAUUAUUAAGUACACAAUCUAUUUGUAAUACUUGCUAAUUUGAUGUGAAAUCACUGUGUCACUGAGUGUGAUGCAUGAAACACACAACUAAAACAAAUGAAGACCGUCUCAACUCAUGAAAGGCAAAUCGUUGUGUGGUGCAAAAGGUGUUUGUGCAGAUGGUGCGAAGGAAUGUGAGAGCCAAAACAUUCUAAAUGUGGUGUUCAGUGAGAGGUUUUGAGUGUCCGGGGAAUAUAUCUAGGAUGUUGACACUAUAAAUAAAGAAACAGAUAAUAAUUUGUCAAAAGCCUGGUGCAGAAGCUGAGAUGUGACCUUUCACCUCCCAGCGUGGGAGACCCACGUCGUUGGUUCAGUGCCGUCUUCUCCACAAGCUCCAGAUGACCCUUUUGGAAUAAGAACAACUUGGUUGCCAUGGUGACUCGAGCCAUUUUAACAAUAUGCUCUGUUGCUACAGUGUGUAGAGGCUUGAUACAGACCAGUUACUUCCAAAGAACGAACUAAUUGCAGGUGUAUUUUUUUAGGUAGUGCCCAGGUGAUGAACGUUGCUCUGCAUUUUUAUAAAUAUUCCACAGAAUAAAAAAUCCACCAUGAAUUUACAAUGCUUAAGGCAAAUUUAUUUUGAAGAAAUGUAUCAAACAAAUGUAAUUUUCAUAGAAAGAGUCUUAAACACAAAUGCAAGCAUCUUCCAUAUUUCCUGAUUUUUGUUGUUACCCAAAUGUAUUUGUAUAACAUAUUUGUUGGUAUUUGAAAAUGAAGCAGUCAGAAGGAUUUCCCUCUGCUGGUAGUUCCAGCUGUGUCCACUUUUGGUUUAUGUCCAAAUAAAUCCCGAUCCCUCAUUAGUGUCAAAUAAACAACACCGAAAGAAGCUUUCAAAACUGAUCGAUUGAAUCUGCAUAAUCUUGUUUUAACUUUGUUAAAGGAUUAUUAUCUAAUUGAAGUUGACAUUUUUCAACAAAAUUCAACUAAUUGAUCAGAUUAAAAUACGAUGUGUUGCCAUUCCUUUUCAAUAAGAAAAACGGACAAAUGGCGUCAAUAUGAUCCUUUUGAUUUGACGUCAAAAUGUUAAUCGGAGCACCUCAUCUGCCCCUCGUGGUGUUUCUGUUCCAAAAGCAUGCGGCGUGCUGUAGUACAUCGAAGGAGGUCGCUCGUCACUGAUUCUGGGGUUAUUUUUAACCGGCCCCCGUGUGCAGGUCUAAUCAGAACAGGAUGUUCCUCAUCAAAUCAACCAGGAAUAUAUUUUCAUGAAAUGAGACUGGGUCUGUGCAUGUACCCUACCAUGAUGUAGCAGACUUAUUAGUGUGGAUGUAGGUCAAUCACAUGAGUGGGUUACCCUACUGGGUGGAGUAGUGCAAUUUGUCCACUACAGCUGACAAUCAGAGCAGGUUAGUUACGUCAUAAUGGAGAAAUAACACACAGACAAACGUAUAUUUGAAAUGGUUCUUUUUUAUUUUAUUCAAAUUAAAAAUAUAUAAAAAAGGUAAUCUAUAGCUUUUUCAAUAUUCCUAUAUGUAAUAAGGAAGUUUCACCAUAACUGUAGUUUAUUAAAAAAAAAAGGUUCAAUCCUCUACUCUGCAACUCUCAGUGCAUCCACAUUGAGCAGAUGUCCUCCCUGCUGGUGUAUAAGCAGCAAGUUUAACAGGUUAAAUAAACUACAUGAAUUAUGUUGUCAUCAAACUCUUGGCAGUAAUAAAUUCCCUCUAGAGGUCAGAAGUCAUAUGCAUUUCAAACAGUGACACAUUUUAAUGUACCGUACUGCCGCAAAACCACAAAACAGUCAACAGUAUUUCGGAUCAGUGUAGAUGAAAGCGCAUAAUAUGCCUCACAGAAAAAAGAGCGUCUAUAAAGUUGAGUUAAAUCGGCCGCCACCUCGACAUAGUGCACGGCGUCGUGUGUUUCCGUGGCUCCGUCACACUGGGACGAACACAGCCAGAGACACUGAGUCUGUUUCCCAUCUGUGCAACACGCAGCGUUCCGGGUUAUUGGCUGCUUUACACCGUUGCAUUCCCCCCCCCCGAGCAACAGCUUGACAUGUCGGGCACAGGAGAGCUGGUGUUCUGCCUGUGCCCCCCUAAAAGCACCCACCCUCCCCCCUUUUUCCUAAUGUAUCUGUUUAUCCAAAUAUCUUCUCCGUCUCUUCCUCCACCUGGUCGGCUGCGCCCUCCGCCUCUCGAGGUUGUUCCUGGCCGUCCUCUCACCUCUCCACCUCUGCCGCCUUCCGUCUCUCUCCGUCGUCUUCUCUCUUGUCUCCUGGGUUGACAGCGUGGAAGGUGGAUGGAUCCGACAGCCUGGCGCAGUCUGGCGUUUCAGUGAAUCCGAUGUGUUUAAUAUGGUGCCUGCUGACAGCGCUUUGGGAAUUGUUCGCAGUUGGAGGAGACACGGCCACACUUUGGCCCGUCCGCCCUCCAUCACUCGCGCUUUCAGUGUGCCAGCGUAGGGGAAGCAUUUCUUCACGUGUGUGUGUGUGUGUGUGUGUGUGUGUGUGUGUGUGUGUGUGUGUGAGUGCAUCCACGUGUGUUUUUAGGGGAGUCAAAGGUCAGCAGAAUAAGGCGCCUUCCUUUCUCUAACAGCUUUUCCUGAAAGGGUUCACAUCCUCCCGGUGGUGAUGGCACGCAGGCUUCACUGGUGAUACUCGACAAACAAACUGAAACUCACAGAAUGACUUUCUGUGAAUCACCUGCUCGGUGACUUUGAGUCUUUCGCAGUCUGGAAAUUGUUUCCCAAAGCAAAUAAUGUGUAAAACUUUUGCAUUGAUAAACACAUGUUGCUUGCUGCUCAAGUUUGUCUCUGCACCUGAAACUGACUUGAUUUGCAUCGACACGUCACUUGAAUUUAAAUUGAAUUAAAGAUGCGCAUAUUUAGAGGACAGAGCUACAUAAUCAAUAGAUUUGUUCUGAGGUGACAACGGCAAAUUUAUUAGGACAAUGCCUGUUUGAAUAUAAAUGUUAUUUGUCUGCCUUUUAUUAUAGAUGGCAAAGAAAAUUCAGAGAACAUUGAGUUUCAAAAAUAAAAUGAAAAAGGUUUUAGUUACAAUAUUCAGCUGUGUAACUUUACUUUACCGAGUUGUUAAUGUUUGUUGUUGUUAAUGUUGUUGCAUCAUGAAUUAAUCUGUGUGCUGUUCUUCUGCUCAUAUUUAGGCACGCUCUGCAACGUCUCCACACACACACACACACACACACACACACACACACACACACACACACACACACACACACACACGCACACGCACAAUCUUCUACAUAUCAGCCUGUGUGUGUGUGUGUGUGUGUGUGGGGGCACCAUGUGCAGUCAAACUGUGAUUUUCUCUGUGCCCGUGUAAAAAACAUAUGGUGAGUCAGUGUGUAGGAGUGGAGCGCCGGUGGGCCGGUGGGUGGAGGAGGGAGCGCUGAUGGGUGGUGGCGAGGAGGAAAGAGGAUUCAGGUUGUGCACCAAUAGGUGGCACUCUACCCUUUCGUGAUUGGCCCUGGUGACCAAAGAUGUGCACAUGUGUUUGCACCCCAAUCUCACGUGAACUUUAAUGAUGCAACUACCUUUUAUUCUGGUUGUUCCUGCUGCUGGCUGCUCUUAGUUUAGAAGAAUAGAAGCAGAGUAAGAUGAGAGUGUGGCUGGAGGGGGGUGGGUGGGGGGGUUACACCACUCUAUGUGAAUGAAUGGAGAGUUAUCUCCGAUGUGGCUUUUAGUUAAUAACUUUGGGGCUGAAUGCAUGAAUUGAUGUGUGGGAAACGGUGGUUUAAGCGAAAAUAAUCCCAUAACAAACAAACAUUGGUGGACUUGUUUUAUCAUUUGGAAUUGUACUUCAUGCGUGUCUGUUCAUGUCUGUAUGUAGCGUAAUAAAUAUGAUGGUUUGUGUGG